AUAAGGUGUUCACUGUUCAAAUAUGAAUAUUUUUUCUUUGCUCUUUUCAGGUUCUUUAGAUUUCUUUAAAAAUCCAAUUUUGUUUUCUAAUAAGCAAAAAGUAAAAUCACUUUACCCAUGUUUAUAUGUUAAAUUGCACUUGUCUCUCUCUCUAUCUCUGUUAACACAUUUGUGUUUGUUUGAUUAAUUCUUGUGUCUUUCAGCCUGUUUCUGCCUAUCACCAUGAGUGAUUCCUUUAUACUCAGAUUUAUCAUCAAGAUCUCAAUUAUAAGCUUAAGUCUUGAUGACAAUUUGAUGAUCUGCAGGAGCACCACCAUGUAAGGAAGGCCAAGACCUCUCUGGAAUCAGUCAAGGGUGAAAUGGAGUGAGGCAUACAAGGAUAUGUGUGGUUUUAGUCUUGGGAAGGAGGUUGAACAGUGCAAUAUUUCUUCUAUAGGAUUGCAGUGACCAGACAUGCUAUUGUAACUCUCAUGGUCAUGUGCUGGAAUUAGCAGAUAUUCAACAAUUUGGCCAUCUCGCCGACCUAUUGAUAUCAGAAGACCGCAGCAGCUCUGCAAAGCAAGUUGCAAAACAGAAUCCAUGAAACUGGUAGUGACUGGAAACCAAUUGGAAGACUUUGGUCUGUGAUGUAGAGGAAUGGGCAGAGG
ensembl:processed_transcript